UUCUGCAACAUGCUCUUGUUCCAUGAUACUGUGGUGACCAAGACCAGCUCCUACCCUUUGGAGCUUUUACUGGAGCAAACGGGCCAAAACAAAACAGAACAAAAUUGAUUGUCAUCAAAGCCAUAAAGGAAAGGAAUAGAGAGAUGGUGGGUAAGAGAACCUGUGUGAGGGGCGCUAUGUUAGUAAGUGUGGCCUAAGGAGGAAGACCUCUCUGAGGAGAGGACAUCGUGAGUUAAGAGAAGCCAAGAAUUGCAAAAGCUCCCACAGAAGAAUUGGUUUCAGAUGUCGGAGGCACAGAAGCAACCUGCACCGCUCGAACCUCGUAAAACAGGGGGAGAAGGAAAUGGGAUUGGCCGGCAAGGAGGGAUCAGGACAAACCACAGAGAAGAGAUGCCAAUGCCGAUCCCCAGAUACCUGCUGGGUGUCUGCACAUUAUCUUAGCAACUCAGGAGGCUCUCACAGCGUCAGCCUCUUGAAGUUUGAAAAUGUCUGCAUCACCAGGGCCCUGAGUUGAUCCACAUCCCAGAAUAUGCCAGGCUUCAGAGAUGCCCAGCUCUGUUGUCCAAAGAGUUUUAUUAAAAAUCGGUGAGGAGAGAAAAGAAGUCUCUGAGGGCCUGUCUGAUUUCAUUACCUCUGACAGAGCACACAGCCGGAGCAGGGCCCCAGAGGACCAAGGAGGGCCGUCCACGGUGCUGGGUGAUGCAAAGGCAUCCGGAGCCGCCGAUACUGACUCCAGAUGUCCUCGUCUGCUGGCAUCUCUCACAGAUCCCGGACUCUCCGUGUGUGACCCGGUGUCGACUUCUUAAUCAUCAACCCCCAGCAUUCUAGUCGGAAGAUGAACAUCCACAGAUCCCCAACCCUUCAUUUGUUUCCUUAAUGUAACUUCUACUGUUGCUCCUCUCAUUGGCAAAACUCUGUUCGCUAGUGGUUUUCUCUGUAAGUCCUAUUUAUUCCCCUGCAGCUUUUGUGGAUAGCCUGAAUCCGGCAUUCUGCAAAGAGGGGGUGCCACCAUUGAGACUGCAAUCCAGACAACAGUUGAAUCCUCUAAGGUCUGGAUACAGACCGCACAAGAUCCUGAGAGGCAGGGAUUCACCAGAUGCCACCAACUAAAAUGGAAGAAGAGACUGGCUUGUAUGUUCCAUAAGAAGAAGCACUUGGUCACAUAAAGAUAGCUACACAGCCAAGCAAGCUGCCUUCUCCCAUACAUAUUUUUCUGGUUGCUAAGAGAGAUCUCCAGCCUCAAAAGUGGCCCUGAGGAAAGAUGCCCGGUGGAGUUUCAGGAAGGUGUGGGAUGAACACAGAGAGUAAAGAGCCCCGGACGGGCCAUCAGGAUGCCUACUCCAGAUCAUUCUCUGGCUCCACCAUGGACUUUCUCAGCCCUAGAGACAGGUUACUAUCAAUUGAGAGCUUUUUAAAAAUACUGGUGCCUGGGCAACCCUCCAGAACAAUUAAAAUAGGAUCAGGUUAGAAUCUGUGUUGUCAUGCCAAAUUCUAGUAGAAUGUGUAAGGUUAUAAAAGGUUUGGGAGAAACUCAAAGUUAAUGCAGAUGGUGAGUGCCUUCAGUCCCCCUCCCCAUCCUUUUCCCCUUAGAGUGUGGGCAUGGCAUCGCCUAAGCCUAGGGUUCAAGGCCAGAGAGGAAGGCAGAGCUAGAUGGCAGGAGCAGGAGGACCAGCCCCAGAACUCUGUCCCAGUUUCAUCGCUGCCUGGGAAAUCCCUGCACAGUCAGCCAGGGCAGAGAAACUGCCCGGCUUACCCAAGUCCCCAAGCCCCUACCUUUGAUUUUUGGUGAGGGUCACGGUCACCACCAAAGAUAAAAGGAUUCCUCCCUCCCGCUACCAAUCCCUUUGACUUUAUCUACAACUCUGUCCCUGCUUAACCUACUUCCUGUGAUUGCAGGAGAAAGGAGGGUAGGUAGCUUUUUUUCCUGAUACAAUCAUUUCCAACUCCAGAUGAUCUGACUUAAGGUUUUUCAAAUUUAUAAUGGUGUGAAAGCAACACACAUUUAGUAGUAACUGUCCUUGGGAUUUGGGAUUUUGUUUUCCUGGACUAGCAAUGUGCUUUGUGUUGCCAGGCAGCGACCGUCAGCCAAGCGAUCAGGAGGGUAAACAACCAACACUCCACAGGUCACGGGGUGGCCAGCACUCGUUGGAUGUCAUGCUUUGUGUUUUCUCAUCACAUCAUGGCUACAAAAUACCCAUCUCUAUCUCCUGCUUCUGGAGAGAAGAGAAAGGCAAUUACCCUUGAGAAGAAACUCAAGGUAAUUGCUCAAUUGUGGGCUAAUGUAAGUGUCCUGAGCACGUUUAAGGUAGGCUAUGCUAUUCAGUGGGUUGGGUGUACUAAAUGCAUUUUCAACUUGCAGUAUUGACAAUUUUCCAGGGCUUUAUCAGGAUGUAUCCCCAUCACAAGUCAGCAUAAGCAUUAUAUAAGUCACCGCAAGCAAUGCCAGUGUGUUAGGGGGCCAUGUUAGACUUGACAAUGUUGACCUGAAAAACAUCCAAACCUGCAAAAAAUAACUUUAUAGGCUUGUACAUGAAUGAAACUGAUGACAGUUGGAGGGAAGUGACAUCUGAAAUGCUCCAGAGAAUCAAAGUGCUGCAGUUUGUUUUAUGCAUUUGGAAUUAGGAGUGAAUUAAGGAGGAUUACAUGAAGGUGGAAGAAAGUAAGACGGGGAUUGGGUUACAGCAUAGUUAAGAUUAUGGGUUCUCUGGAAGGUAGUUUUUCUUCUGAGGGGUCUAAAAGAGGCAUUUCAAAGGUGUGUUCAUCUAGAGGCACAGAAACAAUGCACAGGGCCAUUGCUUAAGGCAGAGAGGAACUUUUUACCAAAGAAGUUAUAUACUUUGGGCAUGACUACCCACCGUGGCCUGCCCAGCGAGGAAUGUAUGAUCAGAGCAGCCGGUGAGGCUACUUCCCACAGAGCCUCUUCCACCACAGCAACGACCCAGUUUUCCUACACAGCGUCACUGUCCCAUCCGGUGGGCUUGCGAGGUGCACUUGUCUGUGCAGCUAUACACAACGACCCUGAGGACACCAUGACUAGACAAGCAAGCCACAGGCACAGAAGUGCAAGUGAUUGGAUGAAUACACACACUUGCACGCUCAUGUGCAGGCACAGCCCAUAAGCUACCACCACGGCAAGGAAAGGAAAACAGCACCAACAACAAAACCAGGAGAGGGACCUAUUUUAACCUCGCCUAAUCAUACAGUUCUAUGAAAUCUGUGAUUUCGGUGGCUUCUUCUUCAGGCCUAGAAAUUAUGCUUCCCUUUGACAAGCUGAUGUAGCAUUUAAAUGACACAUUCAGCACUAGACUUCAGUGUUCUGUUUCACUGUAGGAUAGCAAUAGAGACUGGAUCCAUAUACUAGUGUCUAAUUCUCAAGUUACAUAAUUAGUAACUCUACAUCAUGAAAAAAACUGAAAGGGAAAGUCCUGCUACAAGACAGUGUCUUGUUAGGAGUCAAAGCUGAAGUUAUUCUGCAGGUUAAUACAUCUUUUUUUAGUUCCAAGGCUUCUUUAAUCCCAAGUUGUUAUUAUUUGUUUGUUUCUUUGCUUUUAUCAUCGCCAUUAUUGUUAUUACUAUGUGAUCACUGUCAAGAGAAUGUUGCUCUACCAAGUUGAAGGUCAGAGAGUGGGAGGGAGUAAGUGUGAAACUGGCAUCAUCUCAAAACUGCAGCAACUUGUAUCUUCUGAGAAGCCCUUCAGAGGGGAGGUGUUUUCUGUCCUAAUGUUCACGAGGCCCCAGUGCAUGUCACAGUUCACUCUGGUGA